AGGAAAAAGGUUGGUCUCUCUCUCUCUCUCUCUCUCUCUCUCUCUCACACACACACACACACACACAGAGAGAGAGAGAGAGAGAGAGAGAGAGAGAGAGAGAGAGAGAGAGAGAAAUUGG